rnacentral:rRNA from 1 species
CGUAGGGUGCGAGCGUUAAUCGGAAUUACUGGGCGUAAAGCGUGCGCAGGCGGUUUUGUAAGACAGAUGUGAAAUCCCCGGGCUCAACCUGGGACCUGCAUUUGUGACUGCAAGGCUAGAGUACGGUAGAGGGGGAUGGAAUUCCGCGUGUAGCAGUGAAAUGCGUAGAUAUGCGGAGGAACACCGACGGCGAAGGCAAUCCCCUGGACCUGUACCGACGCUCAUGCACGAAAGCGUGGGGAGCAAACAGGAUUAGAUACCCUGGUAGUCCACGCCCUAAACGAUGUCAACUGGUUGUUGGGUCUUUACUGACUCAGUAACGAAGCUAACGCGUGAAGUUGACCGCCUGGGGAGUACGGCCGCAAGGUUG